rnacentral:lncRNA from 1 species
UGGGAAACGGAGGAGUAGAGAGGUUUAAUAGAACUUUAGGGAGUAUGCUCCGAACCCUGCCUCUGAAAGAGAAGCACAAAUGGCCACAGCAAAUACAAACGUUGACCUUUGCCUACAACGCCACAGUCCAUGAGACAACAGGGUACGCUCCAUUCCAGCUUAUGUUUGAUCGUGUACCGAGAUUGCCGGUGGACGUUAUGUUCAGACAGGUGCUACAUGACCCUGUAGUUGUGGAUCAUGGUACUUACCUGAAGUCGUUGAUGUCGUACCUCCAUGAAGCGGCUGAGAUCGCGCAGCGACAUUCUGAAAAAGAGCAGAGGAAACAGGCAGGAGGUUACAACAAGAAAGUUAGAGGGACAUGUCUGGAUAUUGGGGACCAUGUGCUAGUAGCAAAUAAAGGAGAAAGAGGAAAGAGGAAACUAGCAGAUAAGUGGGACCCUGUAGUGUACACUGUAGUGGACACAAAUCUGCAGACGCACACUUACAAACUCAAGGAUGGGAAAGGGAAUGCGAGGAUAGUGCACAGGAAGCUGCUGUUGGAUAUUAGUUUCCUACCUGUUGAGUCGCCUGAUGAGGAGGAAGGCAUACUACCUUCUACAGGGGAGUCAGAGUGUGAGACACAUAGCAGCAGGUGUGAGUUUGUGGAAGACUUCGAUCCAAGAGACCUGGAGGAAAGAACCAUGAGUUGGGUGAAUGACGACUUUGAAAGCCCUGCAGUUCAAGACUCUGAUGUUGAGAAAGUGAUUGGAAUGGAUAAUUUCAGUUCGGAUGGAAGAGAGUCCAGUGAUCAGUUGCACACUAAAGAGAAUAGUAGCAGGGAUCGUCCUCAGAGUGAAGCUGAAGCCAGUCCAACAUCUCUUGACGUUAUCCCUGACUGUGACACAGAUACACAUACACAAAUUCAGACUGACAUUCAAACUGACACCGACACCCAAGUUCCAGUUCAUGAUGUUCAGGGUGUUAAGACACGAGCAGGUAGAGUUGUUAAGAAAGUGAACAGAUUAAUUGAGUCAAUGGUUCAGAAACCCUUUUACCUCCAAGGUGUUGGAAGUAAUCUGAAAAAGAGAACUGGGUCAUUUCUUU